rnacentral:rRNA from 1 species
CAAUACAUCAGUGGCAGACGGGUGAGUAACACGUGGGAACCUUCCUAGGGGUACGGAACAACUCAGGGAAACUUGAGCUAAUACCGUAUACGUCCGUAAGGAGAAAGAUUCAUCGCCCCUAGACGGGCCCGCGUCGGAUUAGGUAGUUGGUGGGGUAACGGCCUACCAAGCCUACGAUCCGUAGCUGAUCUGAGAGGAUGAUCAGCCACACUGGGACUGAGACACGGCCCAG